GACGAACGCUGGCGGCGUGCUUAACACAUGCAAGUCGAGCGGUAAGGCCCUUCGGGGUAGACGAGCGGCGAACGGGUGCGUAACACUUGGGUGAUCUUCCCCUCACCUCGGCAUAAGCCUGGCAAACUGGGUCUAAUACUGGUUAUGACCUCCUAUCGCUGGUGGGGUGGUGGAGAGAUUUAUCGGUGCAGGAUGGGCACGCGGCCUAUCAGCUUGUUGGUGGGGUAGUGGCCUACCAAGGCGACGACGGGUAGCCGGCCUGAGAGGGUGACCGGCCACACUGGGACUGAGACACGGCCCAGACUCCUACGGGAGGCAGCAGUGGGGAAUAUUGCACAAUGGGCGGAAGCCUGAUGCAGCGACGCCGCGUGAGGGAUGACGGCCUUCGGGUUGUAAACCGCUUUCGGCAGGGACGAAGCGCAAGUGACGGUAACUGGAAAAGAAGCACCGGCUAACUACGUG
rnacentral:rRNA from 1 species